rnacentral:tRNA from 1 species
CAAAUUAGAGCUUGUAAAAGUAUUUUAUUUACAUUAAAAAGAAAAUUAUUAGUUUAGUUUAAUUUGA